rnacentral:rRNA from 1 species
CGGGACGGGUGAGUAACGCGUGGGUAACCUGCCUCAUACAGGGGGAUGACAGUUAGAAAUGGCUGCUAAUACCGCAUAAGACCACAGUACUGCAUGGUACAGUGGUAAAAACUCCGGUGGUAUGAGAUGGACCCGCGUCUGAUUAGGUAGUUGGUGAGGUAACGGCCCACCAAGCCGACGAUCAGUAGCCGACCUGAGAGGGUGACCGGCCACAUUGGGACUGAGACACGGCCCAG